AGCAGGUCAACAUGACCCUGAUGUCGGGAAAGGGACUAAUCCAGGCCUUAUCCAUAGGGUGUUACCAUUAGGGCUUAGGAGGGGAAGUAUGAAUUCUUAACAUGAGAGUGCAUUCUU